CCAUUAGAUGUUCUGGGCCGCACACGCGCUACACUGAAGGAGGCAGCGUGUACUCCUGGAUCGAAAGAUUUGGGUAACCCGCGAAUCUCCUUCGUGCUAGGGAUUGAGGUUUGCAAUUAUCCUUCAUGAACGAGGAAUUCCCAGUAAGUGCAAGUCAUAAGCUUGCGCUGACUACGUCCCUGCCCUUUGUACACACCGCCCGUCGCUACUACCGAUUGAAUGAUUUAGUGAGGACUUCGGACUGGGACCGAUGCGGCUUUCGGGCUGCGUCGGUAUUCUGGAAAGAUGUCCAAACUGUAACAUUUAGAGGAAGUAAAAGUCGUAACA
rnacentral:rRNA from 1 species